CGUGGCAGGACCCGCGUCCCUCUGGCGUCCUGUUCCCCGAGCGAGAGCGGGGCUGGAUGCGGCACGGCCGCUCCGCUCCCUUCCCCGAGGGCCCUUGCCUCAAAGCCAUCCUGCUGCCUUCCACGCUAGACCCGGAGGAAUCGGCUUGCUUGCUACCUGGAGGCAUGCACGCUGCUGUAAAAUACGAGACUUCCUUGGCAGUGUGAUCUCAGAGGUUCUUUGCUUGGCGGGAGUGGCACAGAGGAACCGUUCUGCGGGGACCGGAGCUCGCUGCCGGAGGGAGCUGGCUGGAUGCUGCUUAACAAUCCUGUCUUUCUGCUGCAGCCCUUUCUGGCUGGAGUGCCAUUCCA